rnacentral:rRNA from 3 species
UUAAGCGACUAAGCGUACACGGUGGAUGCCCUGGCAGUCAGAGGCGAUGAAGGACGUGCUAAUCUGCGAAAAGCGUCGGUAAGGUGAUAUGAACCGUUAUAACCGGCGAUGUCCGAAUGGGGAAACCCAGUGCAAUUCGUUGCACUAUCGUUAACUGAAUACAUAGGUUAACGAGGCGAACCGGGGGAACUGAAACAUCUAAGUACCCCGAGGAAAAGAAAUCAACCGAGAUUCCCCCAGUAGCGGCGAGCGAACGGGGAGCAGCCCAGAGUCUGAAUCAGCUUGUGUGUUAGUGGAACGGUCUGGAAAGUCCGACGGUACAGGGUGAUAGUCCCGUACACCAAAAUGCACAGGCUGUGAACUCGAAGAGUAGGGCGGGACACGUGGUAUCCUGUCUGAAUAUGGGGGGACCAUCCUCCAAGGCUAAAUACUCCUGACUGACCGAUAGUGAACCAGUACCGUGAGGGAAAGGCGAAAAGAACCCCGGCGAGGGGAGUGAAAAAGAACCUGAAACCGUGUACGUACAAGCAGUGGGAGCACCUUCGGGUGUGACUGCGUACCUUUUGUAUAAUGGGUCAGCGACUUAUAUUCUGUAGCAAGGUUAACCGUAUAGGGGAGCCGCAGGGAAACCGAGUCUUAACUGGGCGUUAAGUUGCAGGGUAUAGACCCGAAACCCGGUGAUCUAGCCAUGGGCAGGUUGAAGGUUGGGUAACACUAACUGGAGGACCGAACCGACUAAUGUUGAAAAAUUAGCGGAUGACUUGUGGCUGGGGGUGAAAGGCCAAUCAAACCGGGAGAUAGCUGGUUCUCCCCGAAAGCUAUUUAGGUAGCGCCUCGUGAACUCAUCUUCGGGGGUAGAGCACUGUUUCGGCUAGGGGGUCAUCCCGACUUACCAACCCGAUGCAAACUACGAAUACCGAAGAAUGUUAUCACGGGAGACACACGGCGGGUGCUAACGUCCGUCGUGAAGAGGGAAACAACCCAGACCGCCAGCUAAGGUCCCAAAGUCAUGGUUAAGUGGGAAACGAUGUGGGAAGGCACAGACAGCCAGGAUGUUGGCUUAGAAGCAGCCAUCAUUUAAAGAAAGCGUAAUAGCUCACUGGUCGAGUCGGCCUGCGCGGAAGAUGUAACGGGGCUAAACCAUGCACCGAAGCUGCGGCAGCGACACUAUGUGUUGUUGGGUAGGGGAGCGUUCUGUAAGCCUGCGAAGGUGACCUGUGAGGGUUGCUGGAGGUAUCAGAAGUGCGAAUGCUGACAUAAGUAACGAUAAAGCGGGUGAAAAGCCCGCUCGCCGGAAGACCAAGGGUUCCUGUCCAACGUUAAUCGGGGCAGGGUGAGUCGACCCCUAAGGCGAGGCCGAAAGGCGUAGUCGAUGGGAAACAGGUUAAUAUUCCUGUACUUGGUGUUACUGCGAAGGGGGGACGGAGAAGGCUAUGUUAGCCGGGCGACGGUUGUCCCGGUUUAAGCAUGUAGGCUGGUUAUCCAGGCAAAUCCGGAUAAUCAAGGCUGAGGUGUGAUGACGAGGCACUACGGUGCUGAAGUAACAAAUGCCCUGCUUCCAGGAAAAGCCUCUAAGCAUCAGGUAACAUCAAAUCGUACCCCAAACCGACACAGGUGGUCAGGUAGAGAAUACCAAGGCGCUUGAGAGAACUCGGGUGAAGGAACUAGGCAAAAUGGUGCCGUAACUUCGGGAGAAGGCACGCUGGUGUGUAGGUGAAGUCCCUGCGGAUGGAGCUGAGACCAGUCGAAGAUACCAGCUGGCUGCAACUGUUUAUUAAAAACACAGCACUGUGCAAACACGAAAGUGGACGUAUACGGUGUGACGCCUGCCCGGUGCCGGAAGGUUAAUUGAUGGGGUUAUCCGUAAGGAGAAGCUCUUGAUCGAAGCCCCGGUAAACGGCGGCCGUAACUAUAACGGUCCUAAGGUAGCGAAAUUCCUUGUCGGGUAAGUUCCGACCUGCACGAAUGGCGUAAUGAUGGCCAGGCUGUCUCCACCCGAGACUCAGUGAAAUUGAACUCGCUGUGAAGAUGCAGUGUACCCGCGGCAAGACGGAAAGACCCCGUGAACCUUUACUAUAGCUUGACACUGAACAUUGAGCCUUGAUGUGUAGGAUAGGUGGGAGGCUUUGAAGCGUGGACGCCAGUCUGCGUGGAGCCAACCUUGAAAUACCACCCUUUAAUGUUUGAUGUUCUAACGUUGGCCCCUUACCGGGGUUGCGGACAGUGUCUGGUGGGUAGUUUGACUGGGGCGGUCUCCUCCCAAAGCGUAACGGAGGAGCACGAAGGUUAGCUAAUCCUGGUCGGACAUCAGGAGGUUAGUGCAAUGGCAUAAGCUAGCUUGACUGCGAGCGUGACGGCGCGAGCAGGUGCGAAAGCAGGUCAUAGUGAUCCGGUGGUUCUGAAUGGAAGGGCCAUCGCUCAACGGAUAAAAGGUACUCCGGGGAUAACAGGCUGAUACCGCCCAAGAGUUCAUAUCGACGGCGGUGUUUGGCACCUCGAUGUCGGCUCAUCACAUCCUGGGGCUGAAGUAGGUCCCAAGGGUAUGGCUGUUCGCCAUUUAAAGUGGUACGCGAGCUGGGUUUAGAACGUCGUGAGACAGUUCGGUCCCUAUCUGCCGUGGGCGCUGGAGAAUUGAGGGGGGCUGCUCCUAGUACGAGAGGACCGGAGUGGACGCAUCACUGGUGUUCGGGUUGUCAUGCCAAUGGCACUGCCCGGUAGCUAAAUGCGGAAGAGAUAAGUGCUGAAAGCAUCUAAGCACGAAACUUGCCCCGAGAUGAGUUCUCCCUGAGACUUUAAGUCUCCUGAAGGAACGUUAAAGACGAUGACGUUGAUAGGCCGGGUGUGUAAGCGCAGCGAUGCGUUGAGCUAACCGGUACUAAUGAACCGUGAGGCUUAACCUU